CCUACGGGGGGCAGCAGUGAGGAAUAUUGGUCAAUGGGCGAGAGCCUGAACCAGCCAAGUCGCGUGAGGGAGUACUGCCCUAUGGGUUGUAAACCUCUUUUGUCGGGGAGCAAAAGCCGGACGUGUCCGGCUGUGAGAGUACCCGCAGAAAAAGCAUCGGCUAACUCCGUGCCAGCAGCCGCGGUAAUACGGAGGAUGCGAGCGUUAUCCGGGUUUAUUGGGGUUAAAGGGUGCGCAGGCGGAUUUUUAAGUCAGCGGUCAAAUCGUGGGGCUCAACCCCAUCCAGCCGUUGAAACUGGGGAUCUAGAGUGUGCGAGAGGUAUGCGGAAUGCGUGGUGUAGCGGUGAAAUGCAUAGAUAUCACGCAGAACCCCGAUUGCGAAGGCAGCAUACCGGUGCACAACUGACGCUCAGGCACGAAAGCGUGGGUAUCGAACAGGAUUAGAUACCCUGGUAGUC
rnacentral:rRNA from 1 species